AUUGAACGCUGGCGGCAUGCCUUACACAUGCAAGUCGAACGGCAGCGCGGGGCAACCUGGCGGCGAGUGGCGAACGGGUGAGUAAUAUAUCGGAACAUACCCUAGAGUGGGGAGUAACGUAGCGAAGUUACGCUAAUACCGCAUACGCACUAAGGUGGAAAGUAGGGGGAGUUCGCAAGAACCUCAUGCUCAUGGAGUGGCCGAUAUCUGAUUAGCUAGUUGGUGAGGUAAAAGGACUCACCAAGGCGACGAUCAGUAGCUGGUUUGAGAGAACGACCAGCCACACUGGAACUGAGACACGGUCCAGACUCCUACGGGAGGCAGCAGUGGGGAAGUUUUGGUAC
rnacentral:rRNA from 1 species